AAAACAAAAUAUAGACGGUUAAAAAGAGCUAACCACCUGAUAUCCAAAUACAUUUUUUUUACCUUUUUUUAAAUGCAAUAAAAUAGAUUUAUUUUUUGUUCUUGGUAUAACAAAUCAUCAAUAUAACUAACAACACCCAGCUCAAUUUUUCCUCUAUUUUGUCAGCAACCUGUUAACAACAUAUUUAGUCAGAAACUGAAAACAUAAGGUUUACAUAAUCAAAAUAUUACUUUACCAUUAUCUACUGCAUGCCACACAGUGACACACUGUUUAAAGUGAGCAUCAAAAAAUAAUAGAAGUAGUAGUAAUAAUAAAGUUUGUCUUAAGACACUUUGCAACUCAUAAGGAAGGACUCUUGAUUCUGAGCAAAAGAUGCAAAAGGUAAACAAUUUGAAUCAUAUCCAGACUAAGCCAUUAUUAGUAAUGUACCUGAUACACAAAAUAUCUGGACUGGUCAUCUUAAUAGCCCAAGCGAGACUUUGCUUCAAUCAAUUUUGCCGGAAUAAAAACACAACUGACAGUUAACUUCUGUAUGCCCUCAUUAUCUUGAUUCCUUUAGCUUCAGGUCCCACUGUUAAAUUAAUUUUAAAAAGAAUUUAGCUAUUUUUGAGCAUCUAUAGUUGCACCUUCAAAAACGUUUGAGAUUUU